UGGGGGAUAUUGCACAAUGGGCGAAAGCCUGAUGCAGCGACGCCGCGUGGGGGAUGAAGGCCUUCGGGUUGUAAACUUCUUUUGCUCUGAACAAGGCGCACCAUGGGGUGUGUUGAGUGUAGGGGUUGAUUAGCGCCGGCUAACUACGUGCCAGCAGCCGCGGUAAUACGUAGGGCGCGAGCGUUGUCCGGAAUUAUUGGGCGUAAAGGGCUGGUAGGUGGCUGGUUGCGUCUGUCGUGAAAGCUCAUGGCUUAACUGUGGGUUUGCGGUGGGUACGAGCUGGCUUGAGUGCAGUAGGGGAGGGUGGAAUUCCUGGUGUAGCGGUGGAAUGCGCAGAUAUCAGGAGGGAUACCGGUGGCGAAGGCGGGUCUCUGGGCUGUUACUGACACUGAGGAGCGAAAGCAUGGGGAGCGAACAGG
rnacentral:rRNA from 1 species